rnacentral:rRNA from 1 species
GAUGAGCGCUGGCGGCGUGCCUAAUACAUGCAAGUCGAGCGAACGGACGAGAAGCUUGCUUCUCUGAUGUUAGCGGCGGACGGGUGAGUAACAUGUGGAUAACCUACCUAUAAGACUGGGAUAACUUCGGGAAACCGUAGCUAAUACCGGAUAAUAUUUUGAACCGCAUGGUUCAAAAGUGAAAGACGGUCUUGCUGUCACUUAUAGAUGGAUCCGCGCUGCAUUAGCUAGUUGGUAAGGUAACGGCUUACCAAGGCAACGAUGCAUAGCCGACCUGAGAGGGUGAUCGGCCACACUGGAACUGAGACACGGUCCAGACUCCUACGGGAGGCAGCAGUAGGGAAUCUUCCGCAAUGGGCGAAAGCCUGACGGAGCAACGCCGCGUGAGUGAUGAAGGUCUUCGGAUCGUAAAACUCUGUUAUUAGGGAAGAACAUAUGUGUAAGUAACUGUGCACAUCUUGACGGUACCUAAUCAGAAAGCCACGGCUAACUACGUG